UACGUAGGGGGCAAGCGUUGUCCGGAUUUAUUGGGCGUAAAGGGCGCGUAGGCGGCCUGGCAAGUGACGGGUGAAAGCCCUCGGCUCAACCGAGGAACUGCCUGUCAUACUGCCGGGCUUGAGUCCGGGAGAGGUGAGUGGAAUUCCCAGUGUAGCGGUGAAAUGCGUAGAUAUUGGGGAGGAACACCAGUGGCGAAGGCGGCUCACUGGACCGGAACUGACGCUGAGGCGCGAAAGCGUGGGGAGCAAACAGG
rnacentral:rRNA from 1 species